rnacentral:rRNA from 1 species
CCUACGGGAGGCAGCAGUGAGGAAUAUUGGUCAAUGGACGCAAGUCUGAACCAGCCAAGUAGCGUGCAGGAUGACGGCCCUCCGGGUUGUAAACUGCUUUUAGUUGGGUAUAAAAGGGGGCUCGUGAGCCCCGUAUUGUAUGUACCAUCAGAAAAAGGACCGGCUAAUUCCGUGCCAGCAGCCGCGGUAAUACGGAAGGUCCGGGCGUUAUCCGGUUUUAUUGGGUUUAAAGGGAGCGUAGGCCGGCUUUUAAGUCAGCUGUGUAAGUCCGCGGCUCAACCGUGGAAUUGCAGUUGAAAGUGGUGGCCUUGAGGGCACACAGGGAUGGCGGAAUUCAUGGUGUAGCGGUGAAAUGCUUAGAUAUCAUGAAGAACACCGGUCGCGAAGGCAAGUGUCCGGGGUGCAACUGACGCUGAGGCUCGAAAGUGCGGGUAUCAAACAGGAUUAGAUACCCCAGUAGUC